GGAGACCAGGGAAAAGGAACAAUGAUUAGAAGAGGCACACCCUGGUAGAAAUUUUUCAAAGUGUUCAGUAACUGUUUCAUAAUGCCUGAAAGAGGAGUCUGGAAUCAAUUUGUAACUCCUUUUCAUGCCUUCCCACUCUGUGUACUUUUUGGAUGGGAAGUUUUAUGGUAACUACUAAUAGAAGAUUUGCCCUGGUUGGGUGAGCUGUGCUCCAGGUGUGUGUCUGUGAAGAAAUCAAUUAAUUAAUGUCUCAGUUUCAAAUGUACUAACUGUGAAAUCAGGAUACCUCUGGCAUUAACAACUGUAACAUCCAGUAACUUAUUGCCAACUUCUUGCAUCCAUCUCCUAAGCAUCCAGUAUGCAAAAAGAAGGUUGAAAACCACCAAAAGCAUCAAAGUAGAAAAGCUGCAAAGCCUUGAGGAAACAGCCUUCCUGUAUCAGGUUUUUAAAAAGUGAAUGGAAGUUAAAUCACAGAAUGAAUGAAUC